AGGACCACAAGGUUAACAACUGCCACCAGGCAACUGGGAAUAGCUCUGACAGGAGCAAAUAGCAAAGCAGGCACCGGUCACUGCCAGAAUACCUGGGAUUCUUUGUCCUUUCACAGAGGAGCCCUGAAUAUUCACCCUCCCAGCUUGGUAGAACUUGCCUUCCCAGACUCUGUCCAGGGACCAGCUGGCUUCUCAUGCUAGAGCAAGAUAAAGUCAGGAGGAGGAACUUCCAGCCAGCCUUGCUUGACAGCCUUCAGGAGCCUGCCCUCCCUCAGUGCUUCACCUUCUCUCCUGGGAAUGGGAAAUCUCUCUAGGGGUAAGCCUGUGACUCGGGUCCUCCAUGUUGCCUCUUGUUUGAAUUUUUUUAGAUGCCAUGUCACACACAGAGAAUAUCAUUGGUGGUGGUGGCUAUCUUCCCGUGCUAGUUUUAUUGGCAUCUCUUCCAUGAGCUAGGCUCUCUCAUUGGCACUGACUCAUGUUGGCAAAGAGAAAGAGACAAAAAACAAGUCAACAGAGAGAGUGAAAUACCAUCUCUCCCAGAGGGUUGGUUGCUGGCCAAGAUGCUCAGGAGUGCCGCUCACUGGACACGAGGACACGCAAGAACUGCGGGAUACUCCCUGCCUCUUGAAGAGUGUCCAGGGCCUUCCCAGGAAACAAAACAAGAGAAAAGUUUCAGGCCUAGGGUCCCAAAAGAACCUGAGCUUGAGGCUCAGCUCUUACAUCUCAGCCAUAGCUGUUAGAGUAAGAUAAUACUCAUUCUUCCCACAUCUGCUUUGUUUGUUUUGUAAAAUGAAAUCGAUGGCCAUACCAUCCCUCCGGGGUCUUUGAACGAUGCACAUGAGAUGAGACAGGA
rnacentral:lncRNA from 1 species